AGUGAACGCUGGCGGUAGGCCUAACACAUGCAAGUCGAACGGCAGCACAGUAAGAGCUUGCUCUUACGGGUGGCGAGUGGCGGACGGGUGAGGAAUACAUCGGAAUCUACUUUUUCGUGGGGGAUAACGUAGGGAAACUUACGCUAAUACCGCAUACGACCUACGGGUGAAAGCAGGGGAUCUUCGGACCUUGCGCGAUUGAAUGAGCCGAUGUCGGAUUAGCUAGUUGGCGGGGUAAAGGCCCACCAAGGCGACGAUCCGUAGCUGGUCUGAGAGGAUGAUCAGCCACACUGAAACUGAGACACGGUCCAGACUCCUACGGGAGGCAGCAGUGGGGAAUAUUGGAAAAGGGGGGCAAGCCUGAUCCAGCCAUACCGCGUGGGUGAAGAAGGCCUUCGGGUUGUAAAGCCCUUUUGUUGGGAAAGAAAAGCGGCAGGUUAAUACCCCGCUGUUCGGACGGUACCCAAAGAUUAGGCACCGGCAAACUUCGU
rnacentral:rRNA from 1 species